rnacentral:rRNA from 1 species
ACAAGGUUCCGUAGGUGAACCUGCGGAAGGAUCAUUAUUGAAUACGAUUGGAUUCUUGAUGCUGGCUCUUCACUGAGCAUGUGCUCGUCUCCGUCUAUUUAUCUUCUCUUGUGCACCUUUUGUAGUUCUUUGAAGCAAAGUGAACCUCUCGCAGCAAUGCGGUUUGGGGGCUUUUCAUUUUAUGAAUGCCCCUGCUUGCUUUCUUCGAGGCUACGUUUUACAUACACUAUAAAGUUACAGAAUGUCUUUUAACGAUUGUGCUAGUCACAGUCAUUAAACCUAUACAACUUUCAGCAACGGAUCUCUUGGCUCUCCCAUCGAUGAAGAACGCAGCGAAAUGCGAUAAGUAAUGUGAAUUGCAGAAUUCAGUGAAUCAUCGAAUCUUUGAACGCACCUUGCGCCCUUUGGUAUUCCGAAGGGCAUGCCUGUUUGAGUGUCAUUAAAUUAUCAACCCAAAAAGUUUAUUCUUUUUGCGGCUUGGACUUGGGGGUUUGCUGGCUUCCUUCAGUGGAUGGUCUGCUCCCCUUAAAUGCAUUAGCGGGAUCUCUUGUGGACCGUCACUUGGUGUGAUAAUUAUCUAUGCCACGUUGACUUUGAAGCAAAACUUAUGGGAACCUGCUUAUAACCGUCCCUUGUGGACAACUUUAUUGACAAUUUGACCUCAAAUCAGGUAGGACUACCCGCUGAACUUAAGCAUAUCAAUAAGCGGAGGAAAAGAAACUAACAAGGAUUCCCCUAGUAACUGCGAGUGAAGCGGGAAAAGCUCAAAUUUAAAAUCUGGCGG